GGUGAGGUGGCCGAGUGGCUUAAGGCGCCCGCUUGGAAAGCGUGUGUACGGUAACGUACCGAGGGUUCGAAUCCCUCUCUCACCGCCA
rnacentral:tRNA from 1 species